rnacentral:rRNA from 1 species
GUCUAGAUAGCCAUGCAUGUGUAAGUAUAAAUAGUUUACUUUGAAACUGCGAAUGGGCAUUAUAACAUUUAUAAUUUAUUUGAUGAAGAAUACUAAUUGGAUAACCGACUGAAUUCUAUAGCUAAUACAUGCAUGAAGACUUGCCCACUGUAUUGAUUGGGGUGUAUUUAUUAGGUAACGGCCUUUUCGGGAGGAAUACUACCUAAUCAUAUCGGAUGCUUAUGUAACUAUGAGGCUACGGCCUUUUCGGGAGGAAUACUACCUAAUCAUAUCGGAUGCUUAUGUAACUAUGAGGCUGGCCUCCAAGAAUGGGGGUUCAAUUUCGGAGAGGGAGCCUGAUGAUGGCUACCACAUCCGAGGAACGCCUCACGCGCGGAAAUUACCCAGUCCUGACACAAGCUGGUAGUGACAAUAAAUCGCAAUGAGGAACAAUGUUUUGCAAUUGGAUUGAGAUCAACGCACGAACCUUAUCUAAAAACAAUUGGAUGGCAAGUCUGGUGCCAACAGCCGCGGUGAUUCCAGCUCCAAUAGCGUAUAUUAUCGCAGUUGCAAUUAAUAAAGCU